CAGCCGCCGCGGUAAUACGGAGGGUGCAAGCGUUAAUCGGAAUUACUGGGCGUAAAGCGCACGCAGGCGGUUUGUUAAGUCAGAUGUGAAAUCCCCGAGCUUAACUUGGGAACUGCAUUUGAAACUGGCAAGCUAGAGUCUUGUAGAGGGGGGUAGAAUUCCAGGUGUAGCGGUGAAAUGCGUAGAGAUCUGGAGGAAUACCGGUGGCGAAGGCGGCCCCCUGGACAAAGACUGACGCUCAGGUGCGAAAGCGUGGGGAGCAAACAGGAUUAGAUACCCGGGUAGUCCCUGUCUCUUAUAU
rnacentral:rRNA from 1 species